GACAUAGGUGGCGAACGUUAUCCGGAAUUACUGGGCGUAAAGAGUGCGUAGGUGGUUCAAUAAGUUACUGGUGGCAAAUCGGGGCCCAACCCCGUGGAAGUUGGUAAUACUGUUGAACUAGAGGACCGGAGAGGUUAAUGGAAUUCUAUGUGUAGCGGUAAAAUGCUCAAAUAUAUAGAGGAACACCAAACGGCGAAGGCAGUUAACUAUU
rnacentral:rRNA from 1 species